CAUAUCAAUAAGCGGAGGAAAAGAAACCAACAGGGAUUGCCUCAGUAACGGCGAGUGAAGCGGCAAAAGCUCAAAUUUGAAACCCUCGGGAUUGUAAUUUGAAGAUUUGGCAUUGGAGAAAGCUAACCCAAGUUACUUGGAAUAGUACGUCAUAGAGGGUGACAACCCCGUCUGGCUAACCGUUCUCCAUGUAUUGCCUUAUCAAAGAGUCGAGUUGUUUGGGAAUGCAGCUCAAAGUGGGUGGUAAACUCCAUCUAAAGCUAAAUACUGGUGAGAGACCGAUAGCGAACAAGUACUGUGAAGGAAAGGUGAAAAGAACUUUGAAAAGAGAGUGAAAUAGUAUGUGAAAUUGUUGAUAGGGAAGGAAAUGAGCGGAGAGUGGUUGAGGUUUCAGCCUCCCUUUGGGGUGGUGUACUGCCGACGCCGAGUCAUUGUCCGCGAGACGGGGGUUAUAAACGGGUUGCAUUCUUGCCUCUCACCUAACCCCCCUACUGCAGUCAACGACAUAAUCCGCCCAUUUCACCCGUCUUGAAACACGGACCAAGGAGUCUAAUGGAUAUGUGAGUGUUAGGGUGCUAAACCCCAGCGCGCAAUGAAAGUGAAUGAUUCGUUCAGAAUCGACCGAACUUGAUUUUUAUGACAGUUUUGAGUAAACACAUCCAUUGGGACCCGAAAGAUGGUGAACUAUGCCUGAAUAGGGUGAAGUCAGAGGAAACUCUGAUGGAGGCUCGUAGCGGUUCUGACGUGCAAAUCGAUCGUAGAAUUUGGGUAUAGGGGCGAAAGACUAAUCGAACCAUCUAGUAGCUGGUUCCUGC
rnacentral:rRNA from 1 species